GACGAACGCUGGCGGCGUGCUUAACACAUGCAAGUCGAACGGUGAAGCGCCUUCCUUUUUGGUGGGUGUGGAUGAGUGGCGAACGGGUGAGUAACACGUGAGUAACCUGCCCCCUUCUUCUGGAUAACCGCAUGAAAGUGUGGCUAAUACGGGAUAUUCUGGGUCUGUCGCAUGAUGGGUCUGGGAAAGAUAUUGUUUCGGUGGGGGAUGGGCUCGCGGCCUAUCAGCUUGUUGGUGGGGUGAUGGCCUACCAAGGCGGUGACGGGUAGCCGGCCUGAGAGGGUGGACGGUCACACUGGGACUGAGACACGGCCCAGACUCCUACGGGAGGCAGCAGUGGGGAAUAUUGCACAAUGGGCGCAAGCCUGAUGCAGCGACGCCGCGUGAGGGAUGGAGGCCUUCGGGUUGUGAACCUCUUUCGCCAGUGAAGCAGGCCUGCCUCGUUUGUGGGUGGGUUGACGGUAGCUGGAUAAGAGACGCUGGCUAACUACGU
rnacentral:rRNA from 1 species